UAGGCCUACUACUUCCAAAAACCUGAUUUGAUUGUCACUAACUUUCAAAUUGAAAGGGAUCUACUAAAACUGCUCAUGAAUUUUGAGAUUUUACAUUUAAUAGAGGAACAAAUUUUAUCUGCUUCCACUUAGACAGACAGCAUAGAAAUGUGCUAUUGUAAUGAGUAAAAGAUAUUUGUCAUUUAGAGUAUCAUGCGUCAUUGACUUAUGAAAACAAAAUGCAACAGCAAAUUAUCAGUCCACACAUUUCAAGAUGAGUAAAAGAACAGUAUAAGCUACAUUCAUUGAUGCAUUAUUUAUUCAAAAAUCUAUAGUCAACCCAGUCAUCACUCCAUUUUUUUAUGAAGCCAGUUACAGUUACCAUGAAGGGAUGAAAUUUUAGAUAAUAUUCUGUUUGUUUUAUGAAAUGAGAAUAGGCCUACAUCAGAAAUUGAAAUGGUCAUCUUCAGUAUUUAAUGUUUCAUCUAAAAAUGAUAAUUAUAUUAAUACAUAUUUGAUGUACAAACAAAUGAAAACCAUUCAAACUUUUUUUUGUCAAGUAUAGAUGAUUAAACUUGUAAGUGUUUGAACAAUACUACAUCGACAUUAACUUAUUAUUAUAGACUUUUUACAGGAGUGUAUUUUAAGCUUGACUGAAAGAGAAAGUCGCUAUAAUUUAAAUAAUAAAAUUUAAUAGUCUGAACUUGUAACUAAAAAUUGAAUAAUGCUAACAUUUAUUGACAAGUGAAUAUUGGUAAUGAUGUGCUUUCUAUUUAAAUAAUAAUAAUAACAAUAAUAUUAGUAAGAACAAUACUAUCUUCACUUUCUUAAUAUUAUAAACACAAUAUUUCCUGAAAAGAUUUUUU
rnacentral:sRNA from 1 species